AAUUCUACCUGAGAAUUUAUGAUCCCGGCCUAUCAAACAAAAUAGCUACCUGACCAGAGUUUGAUCCCCAGUGCCCACACUGGAGGGCGAAAACUGACUCCCCAAAAUUGUCCUCAGACCUCCAUACUUGCACAAACCAACAGAUGGACCAAAUUAGUAAUAAGUAAAAAAAAAUUAAAGGAAUUUUAAGGGCCUUGGAUAGGUUUGUUUCUGUUGGCUCAGUCCUGCUUGGAUGGCGACUUUCUCUCCCCAGGUGAGUGAUGCUAUAGCUAAUGUGGCAUUUGAAGGUGUCCUCAAGCUCGCCACCCGGGUGUGCUUAGAACAGGAACCUGGAGAGACAGAUGGUUGGGUGGUGAGGCCAGGAUUGACUUUUAGUCUCAGCCAGGUGUGUCUGUAACAAGCUGGAUCCCUGCUCACAUCUGUAAUCCCAGUUCCCAGUGGGGAGAGGCAGGGUCGGUAGAUCCUUCCUGGGAGGAGCAGGAAGAGUGAUGGAGAACAACUUCCCUCUCCCAUGUCUGCUCAUAAGCGCAUCCACCACAUUCCUGUGCACACACAGUAAGUUCUUAUAGAAGAUGGAAAAUGCAAAAGUACAGAAUGUUAAGCUAUGGUGGCACUGCUUUACCUGAGUGUCUGAAUCCAAGCUAAGGUACCAGAAGCCCCAGCUCUCUGUCACCUGUGUGCGCACGGGUAACAGAACUGUUACAUUGAGCUUAUGAGAAGAAUACAGAUAAGUGAGAAACAGCACUUGGUGUAACUAGUGAGUCGGCAAAAUUAAAGCCGGUAAUGUUUUUGUGAAAUUUCAAUUUUGGAACCUGAAAGAAAUGUUGCAUUGUUCUGUUUAGCCCAUAGUCUCUAAAAAUGAGUAAAAGUUUAAGAAAU
rnacentral:lncRNA from 1 species